ACAUACACGAUGGGGCUUUCGUCAAGCUCGGUUUCUCCUCUCCCCUAUUCGUCUCUCCAGUCUCCAGCCAAAGAAGCCUUCCCGAUCUGAACUCCGGCCACCACCUGCAGCGCGAGGGAGCUCCGGCCGCCUCCCCGCACCUUCAUCCUCGCCUUCGCUUCCCCACUGCAGACGGCAGCGUCAUCCCGCGGCGACGCAGCCGGUGCCCUCCUCCGCUUCGGGGGCCCUCCCCGACGACGGAGAGAUACUUGUGCAGCCGCGAACGCCUGAAGGGGGCUCGCGGUGGAGCGGGAGCAGACGCCGGCCGGCCGGCUGCUACGGAGCAGCACCACAGUCUACAUACCCACUGCAACACCAGCCAUACCUGCUCGGCAAUCAAGUGACAUGGAGGCCGAAAACAGCGAGGUGGCUGCUCUGGUCCAGAAGAUCACCGGCCUCCACGCCGCCAUCUCCAAGCUCCCGUCGCUAAGCCCGUCCCCUCAAGUCGACGCGCUCUUCACCGAGCUGGUCACAGCGUGCGUCCCGUCGAGCCCGGUGGACGUGACCAAGCUCGGCCCGGAGGCGCAGGAGAUGCGGCAGGACCUCAUCCGCCUCUGCUCGGCCGCCGAGGGGCUGCUCGAGGCGCACUACUCCGACAUGCUCACCGCCUUGGACAGCCCGCUCGACCACCUCGGCCGCUUCCCUUACUUCGACAACUACGUCAACCUGAGCAAGCUCGAGCACGACCUUCUUGCCGGUCACGUGGCGGCCCCGGCCCGUGUGGCGUUCAUCGGGUCGGGACCGCUGCCGUUCAGCUCCCUCUUCCUCGCGACGUACCACCUGCCGGACACCCGGUUCGACAACUACGACCGGUGCAGCGUGGCCAAUGGCCGGGCGAGGAAGCUGGUCGGCGCGGCGGAUGAGGGCGUGCGCUCGCGCAUGGCGUUCCACACGGCCGAAAUCGCGGACCUCACGGCUGAGCUCGGCACGUAUGAUGUGGUCUUCCUGGCGGCGCUCGUGGGAAUGACGUCCAAGGAGAAGGCCAACACCAUCGCGCACUUGGGGAAGCACAUGGCAGAUGGGGCGGUGCUCGUCGCGCGAAGCGCCCACGGGGCACGAGCGUUCCUGUAUCCUGUAGUGGAGCUGGAUGAUAUCGGGCGUGGCGGGUUCCAAGUGUUGGCUGUGCACCAUCCUGCGGGCGAUGAGGUGUUCAACUCAUUUAUUGUUGCACGGAAGCAGGAGCAUAUUUCUACCGUGGGCACAACAGGGUUCUGAUGGCAGCACGGGUGUAUAUGGACUACAAUCGAGGGUGUGGCAGACGGGGAGAUGUCAUUCAAGUAAGACGGGGAUGUCAACUUGCUGCUGAGUGAUUGGCAUCUUAAGAACAUCUACAACUAGAUGGUUGGCCUCAUCGAACAUGAGAUGUAUCAGCGAGCCACAGCUCAUUGGUGGAUUCAUGAAAAGGCAGUGAUGAAGUAGCAAUUUAGUGGUGGUUUGCCGUGGUUUUGUGGCCUUUCUGGAAUAUUUGGCGGAAAUGAAGAGCAGAAUCCGGGCAGAAUCCGAGCAUGUCCAGCAGCACGCAGAGGAUGGAUGGGCACACGGUUGGUUCCGGUGGAGCCGCGUGAAGUCCCAUGUGGCUCUCCCGUGUCUCGAGCACGGCCGUGAUGAUCAAGCCAGAGAUCGUCGCCUCUGAGUGCCGAGGGCUGCUCUCUCUUGUAGCGGCCGAGUUCGAGUAGGAAGGGGUCCCUGCAGGUGAUUCCUUGGACUGAAGUUUCUUCAUCGAGCCAUAUAUUGGACGAAGGCGUUUCUCCAUGGGCUGGGCUGGGCUGGUCCGUGCGAAUCUCCUGCCAGUCAUGCCGUGUCAUUGCGUUUUGCUUUUAUCUCAGUUGCUCCUGUCAUCAGCCGAUCAAUGUCUGUGCAAGAAACUGAAGUAACCACUCACCCCUUGAGACCUUUUCAUCGUUUGAUCAAUGUUUGAGCAAGAAAUUUGAUGCGCGCACACAUGCACUUUUUCUGCCCUAACAACUUCAGGAAGGCGUAUAUAGUACAGUUCAAUUUCUAAUAAUUAU